rnacentral:lncRNA from 1 species
CAAUGGGAGUAUGACUUGGGCAGCUCCAGCUGGCUCCUCUGCUAGUCUUGCCGCAGUCACCAGUUAUGGAGGAAUGGGAGAGGAGCUUUCCACUUCUCUGAGAGUCAUGUCGAGAGUCUGUCUUAGCCCUCGACCCCUCAGUCUUUGUAGAUCUCAUCCCAGGACCCCGAGGGAGAGCUCUUGAGCAAAUAGCCCUGCGAAGACUUGCCUCUGCAAAGUUCCAUUGGCAUGAACCCCCUUGGCUGGCAUCCCUUCCCAACGUCAGAGCCCUGCCCUGGCCCUGGCUCCCAAGCUCAGAACACCUGCCUUGUCCCUGCCCCCACAGGAGGGCAGUGGUUCCUGCUGAUUAGCCAGGGCUGAGCUAUGGAUUAGAAUAGGACAAAACCAUGAAGGAAGGAGAUCAUUUGCAUACCCAGACUUGUUCAGGUGGUGGUGUCAGGGGUGUGCCAGAACACUGAGCUCUCACGUCGCCUUUCCCAGGUGUGAGAGCUGGCCUCGCCUGCAAAGCACCAGGUGGGGCUCCACCUGGGUGUUCCUGGUUGGAACUGUGGCCCUGGCUUGAGGAUACCUGUAGACUAUAAGGGUGCUAGCCCCAAUCAUCUGAGGGCAUGAGGAGAGACAGAAGGACCCUGUUCUCUGACCUUAUGCCCAAUAGGGCCAAGGACACUGAGCACAUUACCAGCCCCUGCUGGCUGUCUUUACAUCUUACACCCCUGGCUGUGACACCAACCUCCAACCAGGGGCCCGGUGCCUGCAAUCCUGGGGACUCACUGCAGAACUGGAGCAUCUGUUUUUCCAAACUAGGGCCAUCAAACUCCACCCUCAGAGCAAUUUCACACAUUUCUUUGUGUUUGUGAUACAGUGCGACUUUGCUCUGCCCCACCCUGCCCCAUAAAUGCCCCCAGGUCAGAGGGUGCCUCUCACAAAGCAUCCAGGGUCAUUCUGGGCCUGGAAGGAACUCCUGUGUGGUGCCAUUUGAAUAAGAAGCCAGGCAAAGUGUGUCCAUAUGAAACAAAUCAUUGGGUAUAUCUGGUACCUGAGGGAGUAUUUCACAUCUGCGUUGUCAUUCAAGUUUUCUACUGUGUCCUGUGAGGUGAGCAGGACAAGGAUUAUCACCCUGUACUUUCUAGAUAAGGAAACCCAGGACCUGGGAGGCCAAGGCCAGGGCAAGAGUCAGGCAGAGAGAAGACCAGAGUGCAGGCUGUGUGGGCUCCUUCCACUAUGCAGCAAUCAAGGCUCCCUCCCCGGUGUGGGCUCUCUGGGUCUAACCUGGGAACUAGAACUUUGGGUCUAACCUGGGAACCAGGAGACUUGUGAGUGCUGAGCAGCCGUGCCCCAGCCCGAGCCACAGGGAGGCCUUACGUUGAGAAGCCCACACCGUGUCGGGCUCCAAGGAGCCUGGAACCGAUGGUGCCCCAUAGAGAGGGCCCUGUGGGGAGGAGGCUAGCCACGCAGACAGCCUGCUGCUAGGUGUGCCGUGGAACCGCGGAGCUAAUUGCAGAUCUGGUCACCACCAUGCUGAGCGCCAGGGAGGAGGGAAUGGGGAGACACUAAGCCCACGAGACAGGAACACAGUGCCUGGUGAAACAGAGCCAGCCAGUGCUGAUGCAAGUAUUGACUGAGUUCAUAACCUGAUCUGCCCGUGGGAGGGGGAAUAUUUGACAGAAUGCAUCAGCCGAGGGUAGUGAGCCAGGCACUGGGAGAGUGAGCAAGACAGGACCAAGCGGGGAUGCCCUCGGCCACGACUGCCUUCUCUCAGGGUCUUCCCACCCUGAUGAUCCCGAGGAACCCAACGUGCCCCCUACGGCAAUUCCGUCUGUUUCCAACUUCUCAUUGGCUUCAUGUGGGCUUCCCGGGCUCAUUGCUCAUCUGCGUGGAAUCUGCUGAAGCCACAGCACUGAGCUGAAGCUCACUGGUUCUUGAAUGUCACUAGCUGCUCCUGUCCCUGGGCCAUUCAAUGUCAGUGUCCGCCCUGUGGCUCUUCUUUGCUUUCUAGCUGCCAAUCAGCCGCUUCCCGUCUUCCUCUCUUCAGUCCUCUCUCCGUCCCCAGUGCACCUUAAACCCUUCUGGCUGCACUGAUGGGCUCUCCUUUCUAGCAUUUCUGUCUGAUCUCUGACCCUAACCCUGUCCUGGCCUGGGAGUGCCCUGAGAUCCUGACUGCCCUUCUUGGCUCCCAGGCAGGGCUCAGUCCCGGGAGAUGGGCCUUAGGAGGUGCAGACUCCUGCUGGGCCCACUCAGCAUUUGCCAGAGCAGGUAGGCAGGCAGUCACAUGAUCACAUGGCCCAUCCCAAAUCUCUACCUCACAACCCAGAUUUUCUCCAUUAAGGGUAUCGAUUUCCUCGGCUGAACUGCUGGGAUCAAAGGCAGCCUUAGCAACUCGGCAGUUCAUUAAGUCCCAGCUGUCCCAGGGGACUGGCCUGGUGGAUAAACAUGUGAGCAGGAGGCCAUGCUGGGACCUUGAGGGCAGCCUGCUGCGAGGAGUGCUCAGGCUGGACCUGGGCAGGGCGGCAGGAAGGGCAGACCUCUGGCUGCCUUUUUGUCCCCUCCCUCCAGGAACUGGGCUUUGGGGCCCUCCCCACGGCCCGCAGGAACCAUAUGGGGAUACUGCACCUGCUCCCACCCUGCUCCUGCCAUUUUCCUACCUGCCCUCCCACCAGAUACCUGCCAGGCCUUGUGCUGGGCACUGAAGAUGCAGAGCUUCCUAAGCCUCUAACCCCACCCUCAAGGAGCUCCCACUCCAGUGAGGAAGGCAGACCCCAUACCAUAGCGUUACCAGGCUGCGUACUAACAUCUGAUCGUCAGAACCAUUCCCAACUCAGAGAUUAAGUGUGAUAGGCAGCCUGUUUCAACGAGAGCAUUUCCUCUAGAUUUUUGUUCUUGCUUUUUGAAGUGACUCAUUGGAAAAAUUUUGGGCGAUACAGACCCUGAAGCACAAAGUAGAACAUGAAAUUUACACUAAUCAAGGCUGUUGGUUUUUCCAACUUCCCUUCCCUCUGCCUGAUCUGGAGACUGAGGUAAAGCAGAGCAUACCUGGAUGGGGUUGGCCCUGCGUCUCAGGCCAACAGUGUCUGUCCUCCACAGGUGAGGGUAACCUGAGACGGUGCCAGGAGGGAGGAUGCAGCUUUCCUCUUGCCCCCAGCCCCCGACCCUGAACUUUCUCCUCCUGAGCUCCGAUCUGCCUUCACUUCCCAUUUGUUCUCUCAUUGCCCCCAACUCACAUGAAUGUGAGCACUUAGAUGCAAGGACUUUCUAGGGAAAUUAAAGGUGUACAGUACCCCCACUCCUUCCUUCUUUCACUCCCUUAUCCUGAGGACUAAGAGGAAGAGCUGAAGGGGCAACGUUCCAGGGAACUAUUAGAGGCCAGGGGACAAGCGGGCCUGGCAACAAGCCACGGUUGCAGGUGCUGACUGGCCCCCCCAUCCCUACCCACUGGGUGCCCAGGGUGUGUGAGGUGGAGGUGGCCCUAGAGGUGGAAGAGCUGCCCCCUGAACAUGCAGGGCCUGUGGUUUCACUGAAGACAGCAGGUUAACAUGGAGGAAACAGGAUGAGACAGGGCAGGCUGGCCUGUGGUCUUUUCUGAGUGACCCCUCAACCAGGGACUCAGACAGGUCUGGGGCUGGGGAAGCUGCUGGGUGGGAGCAUUUUCCCCAGUUCCUAUAAUGCAAAGUAACAGUCACUUCCCUUGCUCCAAAGCUUCAUUGCUGGCUGCAGUCAGUCUGGGCUCUUGCCCACACUUCGUUCUUCUCCUCCAAUCACAGGGAGGGGUUGGUGGAGUCACUCGCUUGCCCAGUCAUUCCAUCAGCAGAUGUUUGCUGAGUGCUGAUUGGGUGCCAGGCACUGUGCCUGACCCUGGAGACACAAUGCUGAGCAAAACAGACAUGGCCUCUUUCCCCUAGCAGACCUACAUCUGAAGGCAAGCAUCCCAGCUUUCAGCUUGAAACCACCCUGCAGCUCCAGGGAUGGGACAGGCAGGUGGAGAGAGGAGUUUGGGUUGAGACUGUAUAAAGACUCAGACUGAACCCUUACUCUUAAAUUAGGCAGAGAUCUACUACUGCCCCCCAAACACCCUUCCCCAAAGAAGGGCCGCUGGGAAGGGGUGUGGGGAUAGGGAACCAACAUUUGUUUAGUUCUGAAAGUGCUAGGAAUAGGGUAGGCUGAGUGCCUCACAUUUCUUGUCUUAAUCCUCACCAAAACCCUGGGAGGUGAAUAUCAUAAUCCCAAUUUGCAGACCAGGAAGCUGAGGCUCAAUGGAACAAAUUAUCUCAUCAUUAUCGUGGGUAAUGCAUAACCCGGUCUGGCUGCAGGGCCUAUGCCUUUUCCACAACAUCAAUUAUCUCUGGGAAACAUACAAGACCUUCGUUCACCCCUCUGAGCACUGCAGACCUGUGAAGACCUUGACCCCCUGGGAAAUUGUUCCCACUUUCUGCUUUGAAGAAAAUGAUACAGGAAGUGCCAGAGUGCACUCUCUUCCCUUUCUAAACGUCAGCCUCUCUUUUCCCUCCUGCAUCUUCCUAGUCCUGGAAAUCCCUGUUGUCCCCGCCUUUGUCCCAGAAAAUCCCAAAAACGCUUCACGUGAGUCUAUUUAAAUCCCCACUCUCAGCACUCAGGACCGGUUCUGGUUUCCUGGUGUGGCCUGGGCCUCCAUCUGGUUUGGAGGCUAUUUUGAUCCACCGGAUGCAGAUUAGCUGCUGCGAUCUGGGGCUGAGCUGCUGGAGAGAUGCCUUUAUCUACAGAAGGACAAUUUGAAAACUAACUCAAAGCAUCGAGAACAAAUAAAUAAAUUCCUCUUUCCGUUCCCAGCACUCUCCAUCCCAUUUCUACAGGUAAUUGCUGAAGGAUUUUUGCUUCAAACAGGCUCUUGUUUGCACCAAGUGUGGGGUGCAGCAAAGUGGACUCGGGACUGGCCGAUGUCUGGCCAGAAAUGCCAGGCAAGGGAAACAGUGACUCUAGUGGGGUCAGGAGAGGGGCAUCUGCUGGCCCAGGAGCGCAAGGCAGAGGGGUGAGUCUUUCUCAGAGCUCAUGGCACUUGAAAAUAUGGGCUUUGCAUCAUGCAGUGAGGCGACUCUGAGGCAGGAGGUCCAAGUUUGCUGGACAAUGGCAGAAACAGAAUUCAAAAACACCUGUCUUCUAGAAGUUCUGGUCUCUCCUCGGUGCUGCGGCUGCCCCAGGAAGAGUUUCCAGGAGCUGACAAGCAUUCAGAUGCCUUUCAUGCUGAUCUCAUCUGACGAGGCUGCCUCCUCCUCCCUGGACUCUACAAGCCCCUGUCAUGGUCAGCGGCAAUGUUGUCCACAGUGGGUGGCCAGCCUUGAUCUAGCAGUAAAGGAUGGAUUCUGUUAUUUCAGUGAUGUGGGGCUCAGGGUAAUGAAAGUGAUCAUCAAAAAGCAAAAGUAAAGCUGUCCUCACAGGGUUAACAAGAAUUCUGGGCAGAAAUACGGCUAUAAUUAGGCAUUAAUCAGGCUGCACUUUAACCCACUUCCUUGUAACUGACAGACACGGUAGGACUAGCUACUGGCCGUUUGCAUCCCUAAUGUUCCUAUAGAUGGGAUUUCUGAUGUUAGAGCUAUAAUGCUUUUGUUUAAGACAGACAAGAUCUUUGACAUUAGAAUCAUAAGGCUCCUGUUUAAAAAUUGCUUAAGAUGUUUCUCAGAUCCUGAAUUCCAGCAAAACAGAUGAUACUAACAAGUUUGAAGACCCCCACAGAGGAAUGGAAUCAGUAUGAGAACACAGUUUCUUCAUCUCCCUGUCCCAGAACUUCACCCUGGACUCCUCGACCAAUCAACAAUCUCCACACUUCGGCCCUCUCCAAAACUCCUAAAAUCCCAAGCCCCAAACUCCUCUGGGAGAUGGAUUUGAGGCUUCCUCCCGUUUCCUUGUGUGGCAGCCCUGUCAUUAAACCUCUUUCUCUGCUG